rnacentral:rRNA from 1 species
UUAACCUACGGGAGGCAGCAGUGGGGGAUAUUGCACAAUGGGGGGAACCCUGAUGCAGCGACGCCGCGUGGGAGAAGAAGCGCCUCGGCGCGUAAAGCCCUGUCAGCGGGGAAGAAAAUGACGGUACCUGAAGAAGAAGCCCCGGCUAACUACGUGCCAGCAGCCGCGGUAAUACGUAGGGGGCAAGCGUUAUCCGGAUUUACUGGGGGUAAAGGGGGCGCAGACGGCGAUGCAAGCCAGGAGUGAAAGCCCGGGGCCCAACCCCGGGACGGCUCUUGGAACUGCGGGGCUGGAGUGCAGGAGGG